AAAGCUCGUAGUUGAAUUUCGGGAUCAAAUUGUUGGUCGUGCUUCGGUACGCACUGGCAUUAUUGGUUCCUACCUUCUGAAGAACCGCGAUGUCAUUAAUUUGGUGUCGUGGGGAAUCAGGACUGUUACUUUGAAAAAAUUAGAGUGUUUAAAGCAGGCUUACGCUUGAAUACAUUAGCAUGGAAUAAUGAAAUAGGACGUUUGAUUCUAUUUUGUUGGUUUCUAGGAUCGACGUAAUGAUUAAUAGGGAUAGUUGGGGGCAUUAGUAUUCAAUUGUCAGNGGUGAAAUUCUUGGAUUUAUUGAAGACUAACUACUGCGAAAGCAUUUGCCAAGGAUGUUUUCAUUAAUCAAGAACGAAAGUUAGGGGAUCGAAGNNNAUCAGAUACCGUCGUAGUCUUAACCAUAAACUAUGCCGACUAGGGAUCGGAUGAUGUUAAUUUUAUAAUGACUCAUUCGGCACC
rnacentral:rRNA from 1 species